rnacentral:rRNA from 1 species
CGCCACUAAGAUCUCAAGGAUCCCAACGGCUAGUCGACAUCGUUUACGGCGUGGACUACCAGGGUAUCUAAUCCUGUUGCUCCCCACGCUUUCGCACCUCAGUGUCAGUAUCAGUCCAGGUGGUCGCCUUCGCCACUGGUGUUCCUUCCUAUAUCUACGCAUUUCACCGCUACACAGGAAAUUCCACCACCCUCUACCGUACUCUAGCUCAGUAGUUUUGGAUGCAGUUCCCAGGUUGAGCCCGGGGAUUUCACAUCCAACUUGCUGAACCACCUACGCGCGCUUUACGCCCAGUAAUUCCGAUUAACGCUUGCACCCUUCGUAUUACCGCGGCUGCUGGCACGAAGUUAGUCGGUGCUUAUUCUGUUGGUAACGUCAAAACAGCAAGGUAUUAACUUACUGCCCUUCCUCCCAACUUAAAGUGCUUUACAAUCCGAAGACCUUCUUCACACACGCGGCAUGGCUGGAUCAGGCUUUCGCCCAUUGUCCAAUAUUCCCCACUGCUGCCUCCCGUAGGAGUCUGGACCGUGUCUCAGUUCCAGUGUGACUGAUCAUCCUCUCAGACCAGUUACUGAUCGUCGCCUUGGUAGGCCUUUACCCCACCAACUAGCUAAUCCGACCUAGGCUCAUCUGAUAGCGUGAGGUCCGAAGAUCCCCCACUUUCUCCCUCAGGACGUAUGCGGUAUUAGCGCCCGUUUCCGGACGUUAUCCCCCACUACCAGGCAGAUUCCUAGGCAUUACUCACCCGUCCGCCGCUGAAUCCAGGAGCAAGCUCCCUUCAUCCGCUCGACUUGCAUGUGUUAGGCCUGCCGCCAGCGUUCAAUCUGAGCCAGGAUCAAACUCUC